UACGGAGGGUGCAAGCGUUAUCCGGAUUCACUGGGUUUAAAGGGUGCGUAGGUGGGCAGGUAAGUCAGUGGUGAAAUCUCCGGGCUUAACUCGGAAACUGCCGUUGAUACUAUCUGUCUUGAAUAUCGUGGAGGUUAGCGGAAUAUGUCAUGUAGCGGUGAAAUGCUUAGAUAUGACAUAGAACACCAAUUGCGAAGGCAGCUGGCUACACAUAUAUUGACACUGAGGCACGAAAGCGUGGGGAUCAAACAGG
rnacentral:rRNA from 1 species